UUUUCCUAAUAAAGAAGCAACUUUCUGUCCUUUUCUUUUCUGUAUUUCCACUGCUACCAUCGUAAUUCUACGUUGUUUUUCACCUGGACUUUUGCAGUUUCCGGCUAGGUGGUGUCACCACAUUAUGUAUACAAGAUGUAUUGAAAUACUUCCUGAAAAAAAUGAUGUAAUGUUUUGGAUUUGCUUUAAAAAGAAUGUAGAACAUAGGGAGGAAGGACCGGGAGAAUUGAGAUUGCCCUCUUUCCACUCAUCUAAGCCGACCCAACUUGGUGGUUGAGCAGAAGGAAAAUGUGGGUGGUCGUUUCCAGUUUGGGGAAAAGCAAAAAGGAAUAUGAGAAUAGAGAGCCAAUGGAGAACUUUUGCCUUCCAUCUGGGAGAAGUUGCGAGAGGCUGAGAUAGAGAGGUAGGCUUUGUUUUGUUUUAUUUUGUUUUUGGUGGUGCUGCUGUGCACCUAUAAUUCACUCUUUCCUUUAACAUUUGCUAGAGAGGUAGAGCAAAGAAUUGAAAUAGUCGUAAUUAAAGUUGUUGGGUUGUGUUUUUUCUGAACAUGACCCUGAGCUGAGAAUAGGCCAUGUGAAGCUCUAGGUUUUAUUUGGGUUACAUAGUAAACUGAGGUAAGAUAACAAGCAAGAACCAAAAAAGAAUGAUAUGGGCAAAAUGUGUCCAGUGAUGUGUCCAAAAUGUGUUUAGACACCUGAGGGCUGCUGGAAGUGAGAAGGGCUGAUAGAGGAGGCAGGAUUUGAUAUUGAGGAGGGCAGAAGGUUUGGUUGGUUAAGCCAGUCAAGUAAAAAGAUUGGGAAUAUGCAUAGAAAAUCACCUGCACCUGGGGACAAAGCAGAGAGUUUGUGUUGGGAUGCAGUAGGGUGAGUGGUAACACAGACAGCUAACGUUUAUUGAGCGCUUACUAUAUGCCAGAUGCUGAUCUAAAUGCUCAUUUAGAUCCUUGUUAAAUGAUCCUAAAAACUCAUUUUAAUCCUCGGUAAAACAUGGAAUGGCUAACCCGUUUGCCAGAGGUCACACAGGGAAAGGACAGGAAAAGACAGGGCCAAGGUAUCUGAGUGACCAGGCAGCAAGAGAUCAUCGGGAGGAGAGCUGGGAGGACUCCCCCCAAAUUCAUUGUUUGCUAGCAGAGUAAAGCCUCACGUGGUCUGUGCAGCUAGGGCUUCAUUGCAGCAGUUAGGAGCAAUGGAUUGGGUGUACUUAUAGCUCCAGGGGUAGGGCUCAAAAAUCCAGGGGUGAGUCACAACAAAAGAAGCAGAAAGAAGUCUGUAGCAUAACACCAUUGAUGUCAUUGGGAAGCCUCGGACACCCACAAAGCCAAACCACACAUUUUACAAGGACACGGUCAUUCAGGGAUGUGUGUGUGUCAAAUUCAUUAGG